GUCAGAGCCUCCCUGUGACUCACAGGUUGCAGCUGUCCAAAACCAACAGGACCCUCUAUCUAUUUGGUGUCACAAAGUAUAUUGCAGGACCCUAUGAAUGUGAAAUACGGAACCCAGUGAGUGCCAGUCGCAGUGACCCAGUCACCCUGAAUCUCCUCCAUGGUCCAGACCUCCCCAGAAUUUACCCUUCAUUCACCUAUUACCGUUCAGGAGAAAACCUCGACUUGUCCUGCUUCACGGAAUCUAACCCACCGGCAGAGUAUUUUUGGACAAUUAAUGGGAAGUUUCAGCAAUCAGGACAAAAGCUCUUUAUCCCCCAAAUUACUAGAAAUCAUAGCGGGCUCUAUGCUUGCUCUGUUCAUAACUCAGCCACUGGCAAGGAAAUCUCCAAAUCCAUGACAGUCAAAGUCUCUGGUCCCUGCCAUGGAGACCUGACAGAGUCUCAGUCAUGACUGCAACAACUGAGACACUGAGAAAAAGAACAGGCUGAUACCUUCAUGAAAUUCAAGACAAAGAAGAAAAAAACUCAAUGUUAUUGGACUAAAUAAUCAAAAGGAUAAUGUUUUCAUAAUUUUUUAUUGGAAAAUGUGCUGAUUCUUUGAAUGUUUUAUUCUCCAGAUUUAUGAACUUUUUUUCUUCAGCAAUUGGUAAAGUAUACUUUUGUAAACAAAAAUUGAAAUAUUUGCUUUUGCUGUCUAUCUGAAUGCCCCAGAAUUGUGAAACUAUUCAUGAGUAUUCAUAGGUUUAUGGUAAUAAAGUUAUUUGCACAUGUUC
rnacentral:lncRNA from 1 species